GGAGGGUUGUCUUGUGGUUUGACCGGAGGGGGGGCACACCAAAGAAGUGAUCUCGUCCCCAUUGGUCAGAUUAUCCAACCCCCUCUGCUUCUGUACAAUUUUGUCGACUUAUCUGGCAUUUUCUCGGCCGUGUGGAACCAGCACAUCUACCUGCGAAUCUCCAGGCUAUGGUACCAGCGGGGUGGCUUUGAUGAUGGCCCUAGCAAGAGUAUACAUGUGUGCUCUUCUGUAGGGAAAUCAUGCCAACGAGACGGUGCCUAAUGAGGUCAUAGACAUGUUUGUGGACACUUUGCAUGAGAGAAAUUUAUACAAGUGUGCCAGGAUCCAUGUGAGGUUCCCUGUAACAAUUCUGAGGGCAGUGGAAGGCACGUAUACGUUAUGGAUCACUA